GACGAACGCUGGCGUGCUUAACACAUGCAAGUCGAACGGUGAAGCUCCAGCUUGCUGGCGUGGAUCAGUGGCGAACGGGUGAGUAACACGUGAGCAACCUGCCCCAGACUCUGGAAUAAGCGCUGGAAACGGCGUCUAAUACUGGAUACGAGAUCAAGCCGCAUGGUUAUGGUCUGGAAAGUUUUUCGGUUUGGGAUGGGCUCGCGGCCUAUCAGCUUGUUGGUGAGGUAAUGGCUCACCAAGGCGACGACGGGUAGCCGGCCUGAGAGGGCGACCGGCCACACUGGGACUGAGACACGGCCCAGACUCCUACGGGAGGCAGCAGUGGGGAAUAUUGCACAAUGGGCGAAAGCCUGAUGCAGCGACGCCGCGUGAGGGAUGACGGCCUUCGGGUUGUAAACCUCUUUCAGCAGGGAAGAAGCGAAAGUGACGGUACCUGCAGAAGAAGCACCGGCUAACUACGUG
rnacentral:rRNA from 1 species